GAUGAACGCUGGCGGCGUGCCUAAUACAUGCAAGUCGAGCGAACGGACGAGAAGCUUGCUUCUCUGAUGUUAGCGGCGGACGGGUGAGUAACACGUGGAUAACCUACCUAUAAGACUGGGAUAACUUCGGGAAACCGGAGCUAAUACCGGAUAAUAUUUUGAACCGCAUGGUUCAAAAGUGAAAGACGGCCUUGCUGUCACUUAUAGAUGGAUCCGCGCUGCAUUAGCUAGUUGGUAAGGUAACGGCUUACCAAGGCAACGAUGCAUAGCCGACCUGAGAGGGUGAUCGGCCACACUGGAACUGAGACACGGUCCAGACUCCUACGGGAGGCAGCAGUAGGGAAUCUUCCGCAAUGGGCGAAAGCCUGACGGAGCAACGCCGCGUGAGUGAUGAAGGUCUUCGGAUCGUAAAACUCUGUUAUUAGGGAAGAACAUAUGUGUAAGUAAAUGUGCACAUCUUGACGGUACCUAAUCAGAAAGCCACGGCUAACUACGUG
rnacentral:rRNA from 1 species